UACGUAGGUGGCAAGCGUUGUUCGGAAUCACUGGGCGUAAAGCGCACGUAGGCGGCUUUUUAAGUCAGGGGUGAAAUCCUGGAGCUCAACUCCAGAACUGCCUUUGAUACUGAUGAGCUUGAGUUCGGGAGAGGUGAGUGGAACUGCGAGUGUAGAGGUGAAAUUCGUAGAUAUUCGCAAGAACACCAGUGGCGAAGGCGGCUCACUGGCCCGAUACUGACGCUGAGGUGCGAAAGCGUGGGGAGCAAACAGG
rnacentral:rRNA from 1 species